GAUGAACGCUGGCGGCGUGCUUAACACAUGCAAGUCGAACGGUGAAGCAGAGCUUGCUCUGUGGAUCAGUGGCGAACGGGUGAGUAACACGUGAGCAACCUGCCCCUGACUCUGGGAUAAGCGCUGGAAACGGCGUCUAAUACUGGAUAUGAGCUGCGACCGCAUGGUCAGCUGUUGGAAAGAUUUUUCGGUCUGGGAUGGGCUCACGGCCUAUCAGCUUGUUGGUGAGGUAAUGGCUCACCAAGGCGUCGACGGGUAGCCGGCCUGAGAGGGUGACCGGCCACACUGGGACUGAGACACGGCCCAGACUCCUACGGGAGGCAGCAGUGGGGAAUAUUGCACAAUGGGCGAAAGCCUGAUGCAGCAACGCCGCGUGAGGGAUGACGGCCUUCGGGUUGUAAACCUCUUUUAGCAGGGAAGAAGCGAAAGUGACGGUACCUGCAGAAAAAGCGCCGGCUAACUACGUG
rnacentral:rRNA from 1 species